rnacentral:rRNA from 1 species
GACAGAGGUGCUGAGCGUUAGGCGGAAUCACUGGGCUUAAAGCGUGUGUAGGCGGGUCCGUAAGUACCUUGUGAAAUCCCACGGCUCAACCGUGGAACUGCUGGGUAUACUGGUUGUCUUGAGCCAGCUAGGGGCGAGCGGAACAGACGGUGGAGCGGUGAAAUGCGUAGAUAUCGUCUGGAACGCCGAAGGUGAAAACAGCUCGCUGGGGCUGCGCUGACGCUGAGACACGAAAGCCAGGGGAGCGAACGGG